CAGGAAUGUGUUCUGUUUCUGUGGAUCACCAGCCUGUCCGCACAGACAUCCGGAUUCCCCACUUCGCGUUUCCAGUCAGUCCACCCAGGGUCCGGGAUCCAAACGGAUCGGGGCAGGGUCGACCCUCUUCCGGACCAUUCACCAGGUGCAUUACCCUGUCAGAGUGCGGAGCCUGGCUCAUAUCUUACCUCUAACAGCCAGAUAGGAAAACCACUCCACUUUUGAUUCGAGAUGCCAGUAGGUGUGGUUAAGAUCUUCAGUUAUUGGAGCCACCUGGGCCUGGUGUUCUCCAGUAUAAAAGCGCAUCUCAUGUUCUGCACUCCGGGCUAGAGAGGAGGGAAACCCUGUUCCCCAUGCUCUUCCUUAUUUUUGUUUCUUUCACCAUACAACACUCCACUCACUAUUCCUUCAAGCAUGUAUACCUACUGACAUGACUGACCUAAUGAUUAUCACACUUCAUAGUAUUAUUUGAAUAAUAAGUUCUUUCUGUUUGCUUAAAAUUAAAAGUAAUGAUACCUUUACUACA